AUAACUCGUAUCAUCAGUGGUUUUUAUUUGAGAACACCUCUAUCAAUGUUAAACACAAAGGUCCUUUUAAUAUAUUUAAAAGAUUUGAAAUUUUAAACAGUUGGUUUUAUAUAUCCUGCAGUGUGUAUGAUAUACAUGCACAUGAAUUUAUGUUGAAUACUAAACAAUUUUUGUCUUCAAGUAACGAAAGGAAAAUUGAUUAUGGGAAUUACAUUGCAGUUGCUAAGUGUAUAUUUCCUUCUAUCAAGCUUGAAAUGAACUGUUGAGUUGUUGUAUGUAAACAAUACAUAAAAUGAAUUUUAAACAGU
rnacentral:misc_RNA from 1 species